rnacentral:misc_RNA from 1 species
AACGCACAUUGCGCCCGCCAGUAUUCUGGCGGGCAUGCCUGUCCGAGCGUCAUUUCAACCCUCGAACCCCUCCGGGGGGUCGGCGUUGGGGAUCGGCCACUCCCUCCUCUGGGGGCGGCCGGCCCCGAAAUACAGUGGCGGUCUCGCCGCAGCCUCUCCUGCGCAGUAGUUUGCACACUCGCAUCGGGAGCGCGGCGCGUCCAAUGCCGUAAAACACCCAACUUUCUGAAAUGUUGACCUCGGAUCAGGUAGGAAUACCCGCUGAACUUAA